GACGAACGCUGUCGGCGUGCUUAACACAUGCAAGUCGAACGAAGUGGCGAACGGGUGAGUAACGCGUAAUCAACCUGCCCUUCAGAGGGGGACAACAGUUGGAAACGACUGCUAAUACCGCAUACGGAAGGAGGGGAUUGCGUCGGAUUAGCUAGGUGGCGGGGUAACGGCCCACCAAGGCGAUGAUCAGUAGGCGGUCUGAGAGGAGUGACGGCCACAUUGGGACGGAGACACGGCCCAGACUCAUACGGGAGGCAGCAGUGGGGAUUCUGCCGCAAUGGACGAAAGUCUGACGGAGCAACGCCGCGUGAGUGAUGACGGCCUUCGGGUUGUAAAGCUCUGUUAAUCGGGACGCGGUACCGGAAUAGAAAGCCACGGCUAACUACGUGCCAGCAGCCGCGGUAAUAC
rnacentral:rRNA from 1 species